AAAAGAGGACUGCAGUCACUGCACCAUAUCUUGACUGAUCUUCCAAGACCUCUUCUCGAUUUGAGGGUUUUGCGGAUUUACACAUAAGGAUUGGGUAUGUCAAUUUCCUAACACUAUGUGUGGGAAGGGGGAAGGAAAACAAAAGUGGGAAGAAAAAUAAAAAUAGAAAAAUAAGAAAGAAAAAUAAAAGGGAAAAGGAAAAUAAGAAUAGAAAAAUAAGGAAUUUUUCUUCCCUUUGAUUGGAUUGAGAAGUUGUUUUAUGAAUAGUGAAAUUAUAACUUUACUCCUAAAUUAAAAAAAAA
rnacentral:misc_RNA from 1 species